rnacentral:lncRNA from 1 species
UAAAUCAAAUAAUAACUGUCAUUCUUUUACCAACUUGCUGAUAUCCAUGAAGGUUCAUAGGGAUGUCUCACUACACGUAACCCUUUCAUUUAACAUUCUCAAUUACGGGCCAUCUCCAUACUUUAUCCGGUAUGAGUGCCAAUUUACCAAACCUUAAUAUCCCGUCCAAUAUGAGUACCAAUUUACCAAACCUCAAUACUCCGUCCAGUAUGAGGGUGAAGUGGGCCGUCCCCAUACCCCAUCCGGUAUGAAUGCCAAUUUUAC